rnacentral:rRNA from 1 species
UACGAAGGGGGCUAGCGUUGUUCGGAAUUACUGGGCGUAAAGCGUGCGCAGGCGGUGAUGUAAGACAGAUGUGAAAUCCCCGGGCUCAACCUGGGAACUGCAUUUGUGACUGCAUCGCUGGAGUGCGGCAGAGGGGGGAUGGAAUUCCGCGUGUAGCAGUGAAAUGCGUAGAUAUGCGGAGGAACACCGAUGCGAAGGCAAUCCCCUGGGCCUGCACUGACGCUCAUGCACGAAAGCGUGGGGGAGCAAACAGG